AUGGCAAAACGGAGGUGUCUGCAGCCCCCGGGAAGUCCCGUUCUACAGACGGAGCAAGAUCCCGCUAAGUUCGCGCAGGCGCUGAGGGGCAAGGGAGGACUCUCCAGCCUCAGGUCUCCCCUUGUCGAGCUGCUUCCAGCCACGCUGCCGCGUGAGAGCCACGGCCCCCUGCGGCUGCUGGCUGUUGCGCAGGGCAGCAAGCCCUUUCCACACAGCAUCCCACGCGAAGUCCUCCUUGUGGAGCAAGAGUUGUAACUGAUGUCUCAAACUGCCUUGGUGAAGGCGAGAGAGCCUGUGGUGGACUGAGGGAAUGUAUGCUGUACCCUGAGAAGGAAGCCCACUGAACAGAGAGAGGACUCUUUCUAGAAGCUGAGGUGACAUCUUUCCUCCCAAACCAUACAAGCAAGCAUUGCAAUGGAAGGUAGGAUGGCG
rnacentral:lncRNA from 1 species